rnacentral:rRNA from 1 species
UACGAAGGGGGCUAGCGUUGCUCGGAAUUACUGGGCGUAAAGGGCGCGUAGGCGGGUCGUUUAGUUAGAGGUGAAAGCCCAGGGUUCAACCCUGGAAUUGCCUUUAAUACUGGCGGCCUUGAGUAUGGCAGAGGUGUGUGGAACUCCGAGUGUAGAGGUGAAAUUCGUAGAUAUUCGGAAGAACACCAGUGGCGAAGGCGACACACUGGGCCAUUACUGACGCUGAGGCGCGAAAGCGUGGGGAGCAAACAGG